rnacentral:ribozyme from 1 species
CAGUACCAGUACCAGUACACCUAGUAGUAGCCUACGAAUGAUUGGUAAAUCGAUAAACGAUGAGGAUGAUGACGAUGUAAAUAUUCUAGAUCGAGAAGACGAUCAACAACAACAACAACAACAAAAAUUGAUUGGUGACAAUGUGG